GUUACUGAAAUCAAAUUUAAGUAUUUAACUCCCUUAUUUCAAAAACAAAUCCGUAUACCGUAUGCAGUCAUUUUCUUUUUAACUUUCCGGGCCCACCGAAAGCCAUUAAUUUCUGUAAUUAAUUAACCCCCUAAGGUAAAAAUUAAUGGAUCAUGUCCAGAGUGGGUCCCACGACGCGCCCAGAUUGCUGUCGUCCAGAAAACAUGACGUGUCCAUCGACUGCAGCUGGUACGGCUGCAGACCGUUGGGG
rnacentral:lncRNA from 1 species